rnacentral:rRNA from 1 species
GACGAACGCUGGCGGCGUGCUUAACACAUGCAAGUCGAACGGAAAGGCCCUGCUUGUGUGGGGUGCUCGAGUGGCGAACGUGUGAGGAACACGUGAGUAACCUGCCCUUGACUUUGGGAUAACUUCAGGAAACUGGUGCUAAUACCGGAUAGGAGCUCCUGCUGCAUGGUGGGGGUUGGAAAGUUUCGUCGGUUGGGGAUGGACUCGCGGCUUAUCAGCUUGUUGGUGGGGUAGUGGCUUACCAAGGCUUUGACGGGUAGCCGGCCUGAGAGGGUGACCGGCCACAUUGGGACUGAGAUACGGCCCAGACUCCUACGGGAGGCAGCAGUGGGGAAUAUUGCACAAUGGGCGGAAGCCUGAUGCAGCAACGCCGCGUGCGGGAUGACGGCCUUCGGGUUGUAAACCGCUUUCGCCUGUGACGAAGCGUGAGUGACGGUAAUGGGUAAAGAAGCACCGGCUAACUACGUG